rnacentral:rRNA from 1 species
GACGAACGCUGGCGGCGUGCUUAACACAUGCAAGUCGAACGGAAAGGCCCUGCUUUUGUGGGGUGCUCGAGUGGCGAACGGGUGAGUAACACGUGAGUAACCUGCCCUUGACUUUGGGAUAACUUCAGGAAACUGGGGCUAAUACCGGAUAGGAGCUCCUGCUGCAUGGUGGGGGUUGGAAAGUUUCGGCGGUUGGGGAUGGACUCGCGGCUUAUCAGCUUGUUGGUGGGGUAGUGGCUUACCAAGGCUUUGACGGGUAGCCGGCCUGAGAGGGUGACCGGCCACCUUGGGACUGAGGUACGGCGCAGACUCGUACGGGAGGCAGCAGUGGGGAAUAUUGCACAAUGGGCGGAAGCCUGAUGCAGCAACGCCGCGUGCGGGAUGACGGCCUUCGGGUUGUAAACCGCUUUCGCCUGUGACGAAGCGUGAGUGACGGUAAUGGGUAAAGAAGCACCGGCUAACUACGUG